GUCCUCAUUGAUUGUAAUAUGAGGUCUGGCCUGCCCACUGAGAAUUUAAAGGGCCGCGGUAUACUAACCGUGCGAAGGUAGCAUAGUCAAUAGUCUUUUAAUUGGAGGCUUGAAUGAACGGUUGGACAUAGGGGAGACUGUCUUAAUUAAGGUUUAUGAAUUUAACUUUUGUGUGAAAAGGCAUUAAUAUUUUAAGGGGACGAUAAGACCCUAUAAAACUUGACACUUGGGUUUAGUCUUUAAGAGUUAGGUGUAAUUAGGAGGCUGGGCAAAGGGUUGUGCUGGGGCGGCUGAAAUAUAGCUUGUAACUGUUUCUUUAUAUAGAAUAAUGAUUAUUAGAUUUUGAUCCUGAAUUUUGGAUUAUAAGAUUAAGUUACUUUAGGGAUAACAGCGUUAUUUUCCUUGAGAGUUCAUAUCGACAGGGAUGUUUGCGACCUCGAUGUUGAAUUAAAGUUUUCUUUGGGAGUAGAAGUUCAAGGGAUAGGUCUGUUCGACCUUUAAAACUUUACAUGAUUUGAGUUCAAACCGGUG
rnacentral:rRNA from 1 species